AACGCCACCAUGAAUGCUAUUUUCCGUUUCUUUUUUUACUUUAGCGCCUGACUAUCGGGGGCUUUUGCGCAAAGAAAAGAAACGAAAAAUCGCGCUGAAAGCCUCCCUCGUGGAGGCUUUUUUCGU
rfam:Bacteria symbiont BFo1 of Frankliniella occidentalis strain BFo1 contig130, whole genome shotgun sequence.